rnacentral:rRNA from 1 species
CCUACGGGGGGCUGCAGUAAGGAAUAUUGGUCAAUGGAGGAAACUCUGAACCAGCCAUCCCGCGUGAAGGAUGAAGGGGCUCUGCCUUGUAAACUUCUUUUGUCUGGGGCGAAAAAGCUCGAUUUAUCGAGAACUGACGGUACCAGAAGAAUAAGCACCGGCUAACUCCGUGCCAGCAGCCGCGGUCAUACGGAGGGUGCAAGCGUUAUCCGGAGUCACUGGGUUUAAGGAGGCCGUAGACUAAGUCAGAGGUGAAAGGCUGUGGCUUAACCAUGGAAUUGCCAUUGAUACUGCAGAGCUUGAAUGAGGUUGAGGUUGGCGGAAUGUGACAUGUAGCGGUGAAAUGCUUAGAUAUGUCAUGGAACACCGAUUGCGAAGGCAGCUGACUGGACCUAUAUUGACGCUGAGGCACGAAAGCGUGGGGAGCGAACAGGAUUAGAUACCGUAGUC